AAAGUGAGGGUGUGAAUCAACAUAGGAACCACAACGGUAGUAAUUUCAGGUGUGAGGAGACAGCAGAAUGGUAGGUGGAGGAGGACACAUGAUCAUAUGCCGGCUGUACGCUGAUGCCAUCUUGCUCUUAACACUGACCAUUCUUGGUGUUGGAACUCAUCUUGAAAAUGGUCUUGGAGGACUUGUCACAUUCCUUUGCACAUCAUCAGUGGUGGCUUGCUGGGAAAGAAUCCAUCUACAAUGCAGGAGACACAGGUUCUAUCCCUGGGUUGGGAAGAUACCCUGGAAGAGGAAAUGGCAACCCACUGCAGUAUUCUUGCCUGGGAAAUUUCAUGGACAGGGGAACCUGGUGGGCUACAGUCCAUGGAGUCACAAAGUCAGACACUGAAGCAACCUCGUAAUCUGAAGGGGCAUGCCUCAUCCCCGCCAUGGACAGCCAAAGUGGGCAGACUGCUGUUUUCACAUAAAAAGCCUGUCUUUCUGCUUGCCUGGUGGCUCAGUGGUAAAGAAGCCACCUGCCAAUGAAGGAGACCAUCUGCCAUGUAGGAGACCUGGGUUUGAUCCCUGAGUUGGGAAGAUCCCUUGGAGAAGGGAAUGACUACCCUUUUUGCCUGGAGAAUCCCAUGGACAGAGAAGCCUGGUGGGCUACAGUUGGAAGGAGUUGGACAUGACUGAGCGACUAAACCACUACCAUCACAGAAUGAUUUCAGACUCUUAUUUGCAACUCAGCCUCUCCCACCUACCCCUUGCCCCACCAGGAAUCUUUCUGUACCAUCUUGCACCAGUCAGCUUUUGCAAGUUUCCACCAUUAACAUAGUGCCUGGCACCUAGGUAGGUGCUGGAUUCUUUCUAUUAAUAUUACUGUCACCUUUCCAGAGUGUACUAGUUGAGAGAUGAUGGAAGAGAGGUGUGUUCUCUACUGUGAUCACAGAGACCAAAGGGAAAUGUGUGUGUCAAUAAGUUUUCCCUCUAUUUCAUUCUUCUUAUUUUUAUUCAACUACCUAGAGACCAGCAUUCUCAUUUGACGCUUUUUGAGAAGGAAGCAAACACAGCAGAUGACAGGCAGUGCUAGCUAGCAAUUUUUUCCCGCUUCAAAGCAGGUUAGCGGGUUCAAAUAAAACAGCGAAGAGGAAUUACAUGAAACCAAAACGGAAACUGUGAAGUGCAAGCUGAUAUUUUUAGAAGUUUGCAUAAUGACAGGUCAGAUUCCUGAAGAUUAGCCAAAGUGGCAAAUCUAACACCACUUAUUCAAAACAGGGGCAAAAGAUAGAGCAGGCAAUUAUAGUUUAGCCGCAGUUGUGGGGUAGGGGGGAUCAACUCUACUUGAACUUACUGAAGGGACAGCUUGGAAAGUGUAACUUGAAUAUAGAUGGCCUACCAGAAGGGCUUCUACAGGGAGGGGGAUGGGAAGCUGGUGGAAAAGGAAGAGAAAAGGAGGGGGUUGG
ensembl:lncRNA